rnacentral:rRNA from 1 species
UACGUAGGGGGCGAGCGUUGUCCGGAAUCAUUGGGUGUAAAGGGUGCGUAGGCGGUCUCUCAAGUCUGAUGUGAAAUCCCUGGGCUCAACUCAGGAACUGCAUUGGAAACUGAAAGGCUGGAGUACCGGAGAGGGAAGCGGAAUUCCUGGUGUAGCGGUGAAAUGCGUAGAUACCAGGAGGAACACCAGUGGCGAAGGCGGCUACCUGGACCAGCACUGACACUGAAGCACGAAAGCGUGGGGAGCAAACAGG